ensembl:lncRNA
AGGAAGAAAGACCAAGCAGGAUCAAAACAAGAUAUUUACUGAGGAUUAUUGGACGUUCUUAUAGUAAUGAGAGCGCAACAAAUCCACACCAAACUACCAAAAUACUCUCUCUCCAAGGAAUAAUUCAUAUACAUACGCUCUUCAGAAGCCGCAAAUAGCAAACAAUUCAUCAUCACUGAAGGAAAAAUUCAUCAUGUUUGAUAGAAAAAUAAUAAAAAGAAAACAAAAACAAUUCUAAGUGGAAACGGUGGCAUAUCACAAUAGCCUAUAUGAAAUCCAGACACCAGGCGAAUGGUUAUAUAAAUCAUAACUCUUUCUGCAGUAAGCCUCCCUGUCAUAUUUCAUGAAAGUGGUGUUAGCGACAAAAACACGUCUUUGCCACCUUAGUAUGGUUCAUUCCGAUUCAGUGUGGGGUUUAACUGCUGAUUGGAGAGAAAAAGAAAGUCGGAAAGAAAGUUGCAGAGAAUAAGGAAGACAACAUGAGGGAGAUUUGCAGUGACGACUUUAUUAUCUUCAGCAGGGUGUGAUGUCAAUAAAGUUUCUCAACAACUAAUUUUAAUGGCCAAUUAAACAAAUUAAGUUUUCCAGUGCCAUGGCACAUAUGACCCUCGAGAUAGACACCAUCAAACCCGACACAACGACAGCUUUUGCACCGAUGCUCCAAACAAAAAUAUGAGAUCAAAAACUCCCUCAUUAAAAAGUCUCCUGUCGCCACACCUCUAAGACAACGGAUUAGGAUACUGAUCCAGUGCAAGAUAAAAGCAUGACACCCCUAAAGGUCUCAUCUGAAGCAAAGCUCUGUUGCUUUUGACAAAUGUGUCUGGUCAAAGUUUUGUGCGCUCAUGCUUCAUAUACUGUAUACUGACUUUUUGUGAUAAGACUGUGUAAAUGCUUUAUAAGAAAAUGCAUUGUACUUACCCAUGCACAACCAGCUCUACAAUGCUGGGAUGGUUGCCAGGGUGUUCUGAGUGGUUAACUUGUUACCUGGUGGUUGCUAUGGUGUCUUGGGUCGUUGUGAAGACAUUGCUCAAAGGUAAGAUGAUGCUAGAGCAUUCAGAGUAUAUUCUGUGGAAUGUGGUUGCUGUGUUGAUGGUAGUUGCUGGGCAUAGCAUUCCUUAAGUGUUCCAAAUGUUUUAACUUGAGGCUGUCCAGUUGUCAAGGUGCUCCUAUACAGUUGCAAAUGUGUUCUGAGUGGUUGUUAAGUUGCUGUUGCUAGGGAGGUGUCCUAUGAAUUUGUCAAAGUAUUGCUAAGUGGUUGCUUUGGUGUUCUUGAUUGUUGCUGGGGUUUUUAAUGUUUUUAAUCUUUCAGCUUGUUGUUCUUAUGUUCUUGGUAGUUGCUUGGGAAUUGCUAUGUUGUUUUUAAGAUGUUGUAAGUGUUUUUAGCCUGUUGCUAUACAGUUGCUUUGGUGUUCUGAGUAGUUGCCUAGACAUUAUGAGGUUGCUAAAGUGUUUUUAGCUUGUGAGAGUGUUCUUAUACAGUUGCAAAGAUGUUCAGGGCGAUUAACAUAUUACCAUGCAGUUGUUAAGAUGUCCUGAGUGGUAUCAGGGUAUUGCUAUGUGGUCGCUAGGGUGUUCUUAGUGGUUUUAAUUGGCUUCCAUCAUGGUUUUUAGCUUGUUGGUUUGCCUCAAAAACAUUGUGAGAUGUUUAAAUUUAAUACUUAAGUUUAGCCCUGAACCCAAAGUAUGUGCAACAGUAACAGUGAUGCUUAACUUACUAACAAACACUAACAAAUGUCCAAAUGUGUAUAUGUGAUGUGAAAGCAUCUGAGGGUGUGUGACAGUUAGAGAAUGAUAAAGACUGAUGUUGUGGGUGUGUGUGGGCUGAAGUUGCCACACUGAGCGAGUCUGUCUGGUUGUUAGUGUGUACGUG